rnacentral:rRNA from 1 species
CAAGANCUUGCGCUUUUGGAGCGGCCGAUGUCUGAUUAGCUAGUUGGUGGGGUAAUGGCUUACCAAGGCUUCGAUCGGUAGCUGGUCUGAGAGGACGACCAGCCACACUGGGACUGAGACACGGCCCAGACUCCUACGGGAGGCAGCAGUGGGGAAUUUUGGACAAUGGGGGAAACCCUGAUCCAGCCAUGCCGCGUGAGUGAAGAAGGCCUUCGGGUUGUAAAGCUCUUUCAGCCGGAACGAAAUGGUCAUGGUUAUCACCCGUGACAAAUGACGGUACCGGAAGAAGAAGCACCGGCUAACUACGUGCCAGCAGCCGCGGUAAUACGUAGGGUGCAAGCGUUAAUCGGGAUUACUGGGCGUAAAGCGUGCGCAGGCGGUUUUGUAAGUCAGAUGUGAAAUCCCCGGGCUUAACCUGGGAACUGCGUUUGAAA